rnacentral:tRNA from 1 species
UUUAGGAUCUUAUAAAAUAGAAUUAAUCUAUAAGUAACUAAGUAGAAGAAUCUAAGUACUUUGUGAUUUUA